rnacentral:rRNA from 1 species
CAGUCGCCGCGGUAAUACGGAGGGGGCUAGCGUUGUUCUGAAUUACUGGGCGUAAAGCGCACGUAGGCGGCUUGGUAAGUUAGAGGUGAAAGCCCAGGGCUCAACCCUGGAAUUGCCUUUAAGACUGCCGAGCUAGUAGGUGAGAGAGGUAAGUGGAAUUCCGAGUGUAGAGGUGAAAUUCGUAGAUAUUCGGAAGAGCACCAGUGGCGAAGGCAGCUUACUGGCUCAUUCUAGACGCUGAGGUGCGAAAGCGUGGGGAGCAAACAGGAUUAGAUACCCCCGUAGUCCCUGUCUCUUAUAU